AUGGUAGCUGUGGGUGAAGUUGCUGUAGCAGCAGCUCUCAGUCAUGAAGUGUUAAAGUCACAGCACUAUAAACACUCCCAGAUCACUGAAGCAUGUGCUGCCAAUGCAAAGUGUCCUCUAAUGUGUGUGAGUGUGUGUGUGUGUGCGUGUGUGUGUGUGUUUGUGUGUGUGUGCGUGUGUGCUCACUGUAGUGAGACAGAGGUUUUUGUACGACGGCUUCAUAGGAAUGUAUCACUGUGGUACACUUUUGGUGGAGGAACAAAACUGUCUGUGGGCCGUGACACCCAGCCCAGUGUGACAGUGCUGCCCCCCUCCAGUGCAGAGCUGCAGCAGGAGAAGGUCACACUCGUGUGUGUGGCCUACAAGGGCUUCCCCUCGGACUGGAAGUUGAGCUGGAAGGUUGACGGCAGCAGCUGGAGCUCAGGGGAGAGCCGCAGCACCGCCGUUCUGAACGCGGACGGCCUCUACAGCUGGAGCAGCACGCUGAGCCUCCACCCGGAUCAGUGGAGGAACAAGGUGGUGACCUGUGAGGCCUCCAAAGACAACCAACCUACUGUGGUGAGCACAGUGAACACAGAGCAGUGCUCAGAGCUGUGAGCUCACACACACUUUACUCAGCUCACCUUCUACUGCUUCACUGUGUGCUACAUGUGGCCUUUACUGCUCAAAUCAUCCACUCUCAUCAUUUCAUUUGUCUUAUUAACAUGUGAGCUCACACACUCCUCACUUUAACUCAGCUCUUCUUCUUAAUUAUCACCUAAAUAUGUGUUAAGUGUGUGGAUCGCUGCAAUGUCCUGCUUUGAAUUAUUAAUAAAAGCUUUUGAAUCAGUAAA